UGAGGAAUAUUGCGCAAUGGGCGAAAGCCUGACGCAGCAACGCCGCGUGAGGGACGAAGGCCUUCGGGUCGUAAACCUCUUUUCUGGGGAAAGAGACAGGACGGUACCUCAGGAAUAAGUCUCGGCUAACUACGUGCCAGCAGCCGCGGUAAAACGUAGGAGGCGAGCGUUAUCCGGAUUUACUGGGCGUAAAGAGCACGCAGGCGGCUUCGUAAGUCGGAUGUGAAAGCUCCCGGCUUAACUGGGAGAGGCCAUUCGAUACUACGAGGCUUGAGGUUGGGAGAGGGGUGUGGAAUUCCCGGUGUAGUGGUGGAAUGCGUAGAUAUCGGGAGGAACACCUGUGGCGAAAGCGGCACCCUGGCCCACACCUGACGCUGAGGUGCGAAAGCGUGGGGAGCAAACAG
rnacentral:rRNA from 1 species